UGGGGAAUAUUGCACAAUGGGCGAAAGCCUGAUGCAGCAACGCCGCGUGAGUGAUGAAGGUCUUCGGAUUGUAAAGCUCUGUCUUUUGGGACGAUAAUGACGGUACCAAAGGAGGAAGCCACGGCUAACUACGUGCCAGCAGCCGCGGUAAUACGUAGGUGGCGAGCGUUGUCCGGAUUUACUGGGCGUAAAGGGUGCGUAGGCGGAUGUUUAAGUGAGAUGUGAAAUACCCGGGCUUAACUUGGGUGCUGCAUUUCAAACUGGAUAUCUAGAGUGCAGGAGAGGAGAAUGGAAUUCCUAGUGUAGCGGUGAAAUGCGUAGAGAUUAGGAAGAACACCAGUGGCGAAGGCGAUUCUCUGGACUGUAACUGACGCUGAGGCACGAAGCNU
rnacentral:rRNA from 1 species